rnacentral:rRNA from 1 species
UACGUAGGGUGCGAGCGUUGUCCGGAUUUAUUGGGCGUAAAGAGCUCGUAGGCGGUUUGUCGCGUCGGCCGUGAAAUCUCCACGCUUAACGUGGAGCGUGCGGUCGAUACGGGCAGACUUGAGUUCGGUAGGGGAGACUGGAAUUCCUGGUGUAGCGGUGAAAUGCGCAGAUAUCAGGAGGAACACCGGUGGCGAAGGCGGGUCUCUGGAACGGUACUGACGCUGAGACGCGAAAGCGUGGGGAGCGAACAGG